rnacentral:lncRNA from 1 species
UCCUAGACAAGUCCAUAUUCUAAAUCUAGAGACUUGAUUCAAAAAAAUCAACUCCAACUCACCUUCUACUUGGGCUCCCAUUUUCCAUACCCUCCUAAAUUAUAGUUUCAACCCCUCACAUCUAGAACUCCCUAUCCUACUUGUUUAGGAGGUGGGUUGGAGUUGAGUCUUAAUUUGAGCUCCUAUUUUUUUUAUCAUAGCAUGUAAAUAAAAAUUUAAGGACUUAAUUUAAGGACUUGGGUUAGAGUUGCUCAUGCAACUAGAGGUGAACACAGUUGGGGAGCCACGAGUGGAACGAGCACCCCUAUACCCCUCCCUUAUAUAUGGACCAGCACUGCAAGUUUGAGCUCAAGACCCGCUUCAACUAACCUCACCCGCAUCCUGCUCGAUGCCGGCAAGACGCCGUCCGACGAGAAGAUGAGGAGUGCGGCCUACGAUGUGGCCGCAGCGACGACGGAAACUCCACGUCGAGCAAGAAAAAAAAAUGCAAAAAAUUUAUAUCUGAAUACUGAAAGUGACCUCCAUUUUCCAGUGGACAAUGAAAAUAGAGUGAUUUUAUUGUUUGACACUUUUGUUAUUGUUAAAUUUGUUUCUAAAUACUGUAUCAAACAAAAUAUUUAUUUCUUACUUAGGAGAAGAGAGAGCAGUGCUGCAAACCAAGGAGGUCGA